GACGAACGCUGGCGGCGUGCCUAAUACAUGCAAGUCGAGCGAGCUUUGCCCUAUUGAAAUUCUUCCGAAAUGGACAUAAAUACAACCUAGCGCCGGAUGGGUGAUUACCGCUGGGGGAACCCGGCCUUUAAGUCGGGUAACCCUUUGGAAAAAAUAUGCUAAUACCGGAUAAAAGCUUUUUCCUGAUGAAAAAUUUUAAAGGGGCGGCUAAGGUUGUCCCUAAAGGAUCCCCCUGCAAUGCACUAGCUAGUUGGGAAGGACACGGUUUACGGGGCGAUGAUGCACAGCCGAUUUGAGAGACUGAUCCGCCAUGUUGGGACUGAGACACGGCCCAAUCUCCUAGGGGAGGCAGCAGUAGGGAAUCUUCCACAAUGGACGCUAGUCUGAUGAACCACCGCCGCGUGAAUGAAGAGGUUUUCGGAUCGAAACUUCUGUUGUGGAGAAGAAAGAUAGAGUAUACUGUCUUUAUUUGAGUUAAUCAACAAAGGCUGGCUACUACUGCAACAGCGAGUAUACUAGUGCAGCGUGAUGUAUUAUUGACUAGGCAGCCGUUCAUUAUAUCUGAUGAUAGCUCG
rnacentral:rRNA from 1 species